AGCCGGGUAGUGCAGUGGUUAGUUAGCACACUGGACUCUCAUUCGGGAGCACCAUGGUUCAAAUCCGUGUCCGGCUA